AUUGAACGCUGGCGGCAUGCCUUACACAUGCAAGUCGAACGGCAACACAGGAGAGCUUGCUCUCUGGGUGGCGAGUGGCGGACGGGUGAGGAAUACAUCGGAAUCUACCUUUUCGUGGGGGAUAACGUAGGGAAACUUACGCUAAUACCGCAUACGACCUACGGGUGAAAGUGGGGGACCGCAAGGCCUCACGCGAUUAGAUGAGCCGAUGUCCGAUUAGCUAGUUGGCGGGGUAAUGGCCCACCAAGGCGACGAUCGGUAGCUGGUCUGAGAGGAUGAUCAGCCACACUGGAGCUGAGACACGGUCCAGACUCCUACGGGAGGCAGCAGUGGGGAAUAUUGGACAAUGGGCGCAAGCCUGAUCCAGCCAUACCGCGUGGGUGAAGAAGGCCUUCGGGUUGUAAAGCCCUUUUGUUGGGAAAGAAAUCCUGUCGAUUAAUACUCGGUGGGGAUGACGGUACCCAAAGGAUAAGCACCGGCUAACUUCGUGCCAGCCGCCGCCGUAA
rnacentral:rRNA from 1 species